rnacentral:misc_RNA from 1 species
CCAAUUUAGACUCGAGGGAAUACGAAGGGAUAGUUCCAGCCACAACAGAUUUAAUGAUCUCCUCAUCUUCAUCGCCCAAAAUAGGGAUGGUGGUGGUUGUCGGAAAUGGGAUUUCGUCGAACACUUUCGGCUUCGGAGAAGGAAGCACGAUAGGGUCCAUUGCUUUCGGAGAAGAAACAACUGCCCGUGACAGUGGUGGUGCAGAAAGAGAGCAAUCGAGAGCUUGCCCACAUG